rnacentral:rRNA from 1 species
GUGAUGUACUCCUACGGGAGGCAGCAGUGGGAAUUUUGGACAAUGGGCGAAAGCCUGAUCCAGCAAUGCCGCGUGUGUGAAGAAGGCCUUCGGGUUGUAAAGCACUUUUGUCCGGAAAGAAAUCCUUGGCUCUAAUACAGCCGGGGAUGACGGUACCGGAAGAAUAAGCACCGGCUAACUACGUGCCAGCAGCCGCGGUAAUACGUAGGGUGCAAGCGUUAAUCGGAAUUACUGGGCGUAAAGCGUGCGCAGGCGGUUUGCUAAGACCGAUGUGAAAUCCCCGGGCUCAACCUGGGAACUGCAUUGGUGACUGGCAGGCUAGAGUAUGGCAGAGGGGGUAGAAUUCCACGUGUAGCAGUGAAAUGCGUAGAGAUGUGGAGGAAUACCGAUGGCGAAGGCAGCCCCCUGGGCCAAUACUGACGCUCAUGCACGAAAGCGUGGGGAGCAAACAGGAUUAGAUACCCUGGUAG